UGUGCCAGCAGCCGCGGUAAUACGUAGGGUGCGAGCGUUAAUCGGAAUUACUGGGCGUAAAGCGAGCGCAGACGGUUACUUAAGCAGGAUGUGAAAUCCCCGGGCUCAACCUGGGAACUGCGUUCUGAACUGGGUGACUAGAGUGUGUCAGAGGGAGGUAGAAUUCCACGUGUAGCAGUGAAAUGCGUAGAGAUGUGGAGGAAUACCGAUGGCGAAGGCAGCCUCCCUGGGAUAACACUGACGUUCAUGCUCGAAAGCGUGGGUAGCAAACAGGAUUAG
rnacentral:rRNA from 1 species